GGGAGGGGUAAAAUGGCGGCCUGGCCCAGACUCGCGGCUGCGAGGGGCAGUGGGGAUCGCUCCGGCAGAGCUGGCAGGGUGGGGGCCACCUGUAGACGUCUGGUAUCUACGGGGGCGAGAAGGAGCGCGGGAAAGGUCAUAAUACUGUGUGCGGAGGUCCACGCUAGAAGCAAUUUGCAGCGCUCACCCUGGAGGCGGCGGCUGCUCGCGGGCGCCAUUUUCCCCGCCUGGCUCGGGACUCCGGUGUUCCCGUUGCCGCCACAUGGCGGAGCCGGCGCGGCCGCUGCGUCCCGGCCGACAGAGGCGGCGGGCGAGCAGCCGCUGAGGGGUUGCAGAGCCUUGGAAUUAAGGGAUCUCCCUCGCUUGUCUCCGAGGGAAAAGGAGCAGUUCCGCAAACUGUUUAUUGGCGGCUUAAGCUUUGAAACCACAGAAGAAAGCUUGAGGAGUUACUAUGAGCAAUGGGGAAAGCUUACAGACUGUGUGGUAAUGAGGGAUCCUGCAAGCAAAAGAUCAAGGGGUUUUGGUUUUGUAACAUUCUCUUCCAUGGCUGAAGUUGAUGCAGCUAUGGCUGCAAGACCUCACACAAUUGAUGGAAGGGUGGUUGAGCCUAAGAGAGCUGUGGCUAGAGAGGAGUCUGGAAAACCUGGUGCUCAUGUUACUGUGAAAAAAUUAUUUGUUGGUGGUAUUAAAGAGGACACUGAGGAGCACCACCUUCGUGACUACUUUGAGGAAUAUGGAAAAAUUGAUACUAUUGAAAUCAUUACUGACAGACAGUCUGGUAAAAAGAGGGGGUUUGGAUUUGUUACAUUUGAUGACCAUGAUCCUGUGGACAAAAUUGUAUUGCAGAAGUAUCACACCAUCAAUGGCCAUAAUGCAGAAGUAAGGAAAGCUCUCUCUAGACAGGAAAUGCAGGAGGUUCAAAAUUCUAGGAGUGGGAGAGGAGGGAACUUCGGUUUUGGUGAUGCUCGUGGAGGCGGUGGCAACUUUGGUCCAGGACCUGGCAGCAAUUUCAGAGGGGGAGCCGAUGGAUAUGGAAGUGGCCGUGGAUUUGGUGAUGGAUAUAACGGAUACGGUGGAGGACCUGGAGGUGGCAACUUCGGUGGCAGUCCUGGUUAUGGUGGAGGAAGAGGAGGCUAUGGUGGAGGAGGACCUGGAUAUGGCAACCAGGGUGGAGGCUAUGGAGGUGGUUAUGACAACUAUGGAGGAGGCAAUUACGGAAGUGGAAACUAUAAUGAUUUUGGCAACUACAACCAACAACCUUCAAAUUAUGGUCCGAUGAAGAGUGGAAAUUUUGGUGGCAGCCGGAACAUGGGGGGACCAUAUGGUGGAGGAAACUAUGGUCCAGGGGGCAGUGGAGGAAGUGGUGGAUAUGGAGGGAGGAGCCGUUACUGAGUUUCCUCAAGCAUGCCAUGGGCUUCACUGUAUAAAUAGGAGAGGAUGAGAGCCCAGAGGUAACAGAACAGCUUCAGGUUAUCGAAAUAACAAUGUUAAGGAAACACUUAUCUCAGUCAUGCAUAAAUAUGCAGUGGUAUGGCAGAAGACACCAGAGCAGAUGCAGAGAGCCAUUUUGUGAAUGGAUUUGGAUUAUUUAAUAACAUUACCUUACUGUGGAGGAAGGAUUGUAAAAAUGCCUUUGAGACAGUUUCUUAGCUUUUUAAUUGUUGUUUCUUUCUAGUGGUCUUUGUAAGUGUAGAAGCAUUCCUUUGAUAAUGUUAAAUUUGUAAGUUUCAGGUGACAUGUGAAACCUUUUUUAAGAUUUUUCUCAAAGUUUUGAAAAGCUUUUAGCCAGGAUCAUGGUGUAAUAAGACAUAACGUUUUCCUUUUAAAAAUUUAAGUGCGUGUGUAGAGUUAAGAAGCUGUUGUACAUUUAUGAUUUUAAUAAAAUAAUUCUAAAGGAAAUAUUGUGUAAUUUUAGAUUUUUUUUUAAUACUGUAAAAUAAUAAGGCAAGGAGUGGGUAGUAUAAGGUCCCACAUAAUACAAAGCUAUUGUUGUACGUGUAAAAUUUAAUGCUGGUGAGAAAAAGUAUGUUGUCUGUAAAUUACCAGGUUUAAAAUAUCUAGGUAACUUAAGGGGUAUCUCUGCAAGGAGAAACACCUUUUUAGAUUUUUUAGAUGCUGCUUCUUCAAUGGCAAGGAAAGGAAAAACCCCCAGCAAGGUACUCUUCCAGGGACGCAGGUCUAGUACAAGAGAACUCUUGAAAACGUCACUAAAAGUUCAGCCAGUCUUAAAAAGCUGUGCUGUAUCUCUGCAAAGCUUUAACUACGGUAGAUUGUUUAUAAGGAUGGCAACGAAGGCUGAGGGUGUAGAGCAAAAUAGUUCUAAGCUUCAGUUAAACUUCUUUAGCUAUGAUAUGAACCCUGGACAAGCAUAGACUGCUGCCACUGUACACUGCUACAGUUGAACAAAUGAGACCUGCAAGUGUCCAUUAGUAAAGCUUUGCAAGGGUUCCAUCCCUGGUGUUGGUAGUUAAAUGGAAGGUGCCAUGCUGCAGGUAACUAAUGAAGAAGUGGUCAACCACAGAAACGCUUCAAGAAAUAAGAAAUUCUGUAUCAUCAGAAAAUAGUUGUUUUUGCUGCCUUCAUUAAAAAUCUAGAGGUUAAAUGAAUACUGAUAAAACAUCACAAUUAGUACAGCUCCCUGUAAUGAUGGGUUUUUUAAAUUACAGUAAUAAUGUCUUGUAAACCUUUCGAAUAAAAUUCAGAUUCGUUAGGAGAAACAAAUCACUAAUGUUAAAAUAGCAAACAUUCUGUGAGUAGAAAGUUUAACUACAUAUAUUUAUAACUUUCAUAGCUUUAAAAUAAAGUAUUUUUAUACCAAAGUAGUUCUAGUGUAAUGCUUAAUAAAAAUUUAGUGUGUAUUUAACAUUAAAUAAUGUUUAUGUUUAGACCCUUUCAUGAUUUGAAACAUUCCAUUUUGAGGUGAAUUUAAAACAGAAUCAGUUUGACACGUGUGUUCAUGGAACUUGUUUCUCUGACCAUGGGCAUCUGUUCUCUUUUGGGAGAAACAGUGCUGCAAAUUUAAAGUGCUAAUAUCUGUGCUGUUGGACACAAGUGCUUAAAAGUAGCUUUUUUUUGGCUGUGUUUUAUAUUACCUCAUACUUGCGUGUUAACAAAACUACGACCUAAGUCAAUUUGUCAGAUGCAAUAGGACAAGAGCUUUAUCCUUUUCAUUUUUAAAGAGCUUUGAGCAUGAAGACAGACAUGCUGUACAAAACUCUAUUACCCAUAGGUGCAUCUGGGGGCAGAAGAAAAAUACCAAAACAAAAAAUGACAAACCAAAUGAAACUACUAAAACAAACACCAAGUGUGAGCUUGGGAAAGCUUCAGCUGGGGAGUGUAUCUUGAGGUUAUACUAUUUUAACAUCUAUCUUUAUGCAUGGUUUAUUCAAAACUUGAAAUUUAUAUGCUUUGGCAGAAUCAUCGUGUCUUUAACCUUUAUAAUACUGUUUAAGGAUUCACAUACAAUUUUUUUCUGUUUAAGCUGAACUUUGAAAUACUUGAAUAGGUGACCGGUGGGCUGCAACGGAAGUAGAAAACGAAGAUGCACAAAUCUCCUUUACUUUCUUCUUUCCAACAGAAUGACCAGAUCAUAAGGAAUUUGCCUUCUUUCCUAUAACAUAGAUGUAGUUGAUGAAAGUUUUUUCUUUACAGUUGCCAAGUCCACAUUCAUACACCAUUUUAAAGAACUAACAAAACCACUUAAAAGGGCAGUAAUUAUUUUUCUGUUUAAAAUACUAUUUCAGUAGUUUAAUAACAAGGUUUAAUAUCUACUCUAAUUGAGCAUGGUUUCCAUAAUGAGUACUGUCUUAUUUUGAUCUGUUGGCACUGAGGGAACGGAGUGUACAGGGGGACAGCACUGCACAAGAGUGAAGUUACUGGAUAUUUAAAGUUGAGGUUUGAAAACCUGGUGUAUUUUAAGUUUUCUGAUGUCCUACUGUUGAACUUCCACAACUUUUCUCUUGGUGUGGUCUUAAAAAUUAGGCAUGUGACAGUCAACAAUGUUCACCAAUGAAUGUGGUGAGGGAAGUCACAGUUCCGAGUCAGCCUGAUACUGGAAGUUUUUAGCAACUUCAAAUAAAAGCACUAUUGUGUGGUCAGUCACUGGUCAUCAAUUUGUAGCCAAUGGAUUCUUACUUUUAUCAAGUAGGAUUUUGUCACUACAGACUUUGUCUUCCAAGUAAGUGUAACAUUACAGUGUUUCCAGGUACUAACAGCUGAGGAUCAGGUUGUCAGUACUAAGUCCAGCUUUCCCCCAGUGAACACUUUGUGCAGCAAACUGAGGGAAGAAAAGAAAAACAACAGAACUUGUUGAUAACUGGUGUGUGAGCCAAAGACCACCCAAAAAUAGUAUUACUUGUAUUUAUAAAAUGAUGGUGAAAAAAGGUCAGUAGUAGGGUUCUGGCCACUCAGACUUUGUGUUACUUACAAUGAAAGUUGAAUUUUACUUCUAUUGUGCUGCAGGUGCUAAAAAACAUUCAAGAAAAUGUGAACAAUUGCCGUUACACUGUGAAACGAACAGGACUUGAACUUUGUGAUGUGUAGGAAAGACUGUAUUCUUUAAGUAUGAUGAUGAAUGUACAUGAUCUCUUGGUGAUGAAAUUAUACCACUUCUGGGAAAGAAAACCCAAGCCCCAGAAAUGGAUCUGAAUUUUCAAACCGUUAUCAACAGAGUUUGUUUUGGCAGCUGGACCUCAUUGGUGGAGGAUCAUUUAGUAGGAACAUAUUGGGGCUGUACAUUCCCUGCAGGUUUAGUGUUUCAGUUCAUUUUUGAAGCAGAGUGUGUGAUGCAAGUGGAACCCUGUAGUAGUGCUGUUGCUUCUUUUCUGCCUAAGGGAGAUGGCUGUUCCUCUUCAGCCAUGUUUUUUCAACUAUACCAUUCAGUGUGUCUAGGAAUGCAUAGGAGUGUCAUAUGGAAGGGUUUGCCUGGGUAAUGAUCUGUUUUGCCAGAAGUACUGUCCCUUUUAAUGGCCAUGUUUUUACUUUGCAGCUACUGUUGGUUUGUGUUGCACAGAAGUAUUGUCAGGAGUUACUCCAGUUAAUGGAGCAAGAACUGGUUUCUCUAUCAGCAGUAAAAUUAACAGUGUAUAAAUACUUGUGUGACUUGCCUGACAGAGUGCUGUGAAUAUACUAGGUCAGCAGUGUUUGGGCACCUCACAAGCUAGCUUGUGUGACCUCCCAUGCUGCUCCACUGUGCAAAAAGGUGACUGGGAGAAAGUCCUAGAAAAUUGCUGUUACCAGCACUCUCCCCCUUGCUUGGUUCAUUUUGGGGCACUGAAUGAAAAUGGGUGGCUGAUGGACAUCAGAGUUCUAGUAGAUGUGCCGCAGGUGUCAAGUUGCAGUACUUCAUGAGGUACACUACAGUAGUAAGACUUCACAUGGUUACAUCUGCCAUCUCUAUUUGGUUUACAUAAUAAAAGUUUUUCACUACACCCUG